UACGUAGGGACCAAGCGUUGUUCGGAUUUACUGGGCGUAAAGGGCGCGUAGGCGGCUUAACAAGUCACUUGUGAAAUCUCCGGGCUUAACUCGGAACGGCCAAGUGAAACUGUCAAGCUAGAGUGCAGAAGGGGCAAUCGGAAUUCUUGGUGUAGCGGUGAAGUGCGUAGAUAUCAAGAGGAACACCUGAGGUGAAGACGGGUUGCUGGGCUGACACUGACGCUGAGGCGCGAAAGCCAGGGGAGCAAACGGG
rnacentral:rRNA from 1 species